CAUGCGCACGCGCACACUCGGGUUCCACAAGGUUCCACGAGCCUUGAAGGCCCCACUCUCAGACAGUCCGGCGGCGCCAGAGGUUCCGGAAGGUUCGGGGCUCACCUCACAGGCGGGCAGCGUGGAAGUUAAUUGGCAGAAGGGCCAGGCACCACGGAACCGAUGAUUCUCUUUGCUCUGCUCCUGGUCACGGGCCUGCCGCGGGUGGAGACAAACGUCACCGUGUCUGGAAAACAAGCUGCAACCCUGAAGUGUCACGUCUGCGAGAUAGAGAAUAGUUUCGGUUGCACAAAUCCAUCCAACUGUCCUAGGGAUUUUCACUUUUGUACUUCCGUUGCCGUGAGUGAGUAUCUCCGUGCAUCCCGGGUUCACGGGAAAGUCGGUCAAUCCUUUCAGCAGUUGGGGUCUGUCUGGGUUUUCUCAACAGAGGGUAACUAAUGUAAUCACGUUCGUUCAAGAGAAACGGAGGAAAGUCCUGAGACGUCAGAACACAGGCAGGUGACAGGCCAGCUUGCGUGAGAGCCGUGCCGACGGAGGGUGGGGCGCCAGGACUGGACGCGAUGGAAUAUUGGGGUGCGGGAAGAAAAGCAUAGGGUUAUCUGUAUUCAUUUUAAAUGAACGACGAAAGCCUUCAUUUCAACCGCCCCACCAGAAGUGCUGUUACAAGAGGUGUUCGUAAUGAGGGGCGGGGCUUACGCUUUGUUCUGGAAGGAGUGUUGUGUGCUUUAGGACGGGUGGAGACCACCUCUCUGUCUCGCGUAUGUCACCCGGGAGCUCCAGGCCGCAUGAAGCCCCCGAAGGGGAGUGCGGAGGCCCAGCAGCGCCCGGCGCUCGGAGGCAGAGUGUCAGCCCCUACGGGCGGGUCCGCGUUCCCGGAAACACGCGGGGUGCCGAGGGGGUGCUUGGGACUCGCGCCAGCCCCGCGUGAACGUCAUCACCUCGUAGGGAAAAGCGAUUGUCACCGUGAACCACAGAUGAGGCGAAGCCAGCAGCGUGACCCCG